AUGGCAGACUUUGGUCCUCCCGCCGCCGCCCCGGCUGCCCACAUCGUUGCCGCCCCGUCUGCCCACAUCGCCGCCAAGGGCAAGGACCCGCGCGUCGAGCAGGGAUACACACCAUCCUACCCUGUUGAUCCAGCCUGGUACAUGGACAUCAGCGCCACGGAUCACAUGACGAACGAGCUCAACAAACUCUCCACCUACCAGCCCUACUACGGGCACGAUCAGGUUCACACCGCCAAUGGUGUAGGUAUGCCCAUCUCUCAUAUUGGCCAAGCAUAUCUUUUAACUAGUCAUCCCUCUAGGCAGCUCCAUCUUCGUAAUGUUUUACGGGUACCGUCGGUAACUCGUAAUCUUUUAUCUGUCCCUAAGCUCACCCUUGAUAAUCAUGUCCUAUGUGAAUUUCACCCUUUUAAUCUUUUUGUUAAGGAUCGAGCAACCCGGGACGUUAUGCUUAGUGGCCGGUUGAGUCAAGGCUUGUACCAUUUGGAGGAUCAUCCGCCCCGUGCGUCUUCAGCGGUGUUCGUGUGUCGCCUUCCCAGUGGCACUCUCGCUUUGGUCACCCCGCCAGACCCAUCGUUCGCCACAUAA
rnacentral:rRNA from 1 species